rnacentral:rRNA from 1 species
CGCAUCUGUGCAUGCAGCAUAUCAAUAAGCGGAGGAAAAGAAACUAACAAGGAUUCCCUUAGUAACGGCGAGUGAAGCGGGAAGAGCUCAAAUUUGAAAUCUUCAAGGUUUUACCUUGACGAAUUGUAGUUUAAAGAAGUGUUUUCUGUUGAAGUUUUGGUAAAAGUUCUUUGGAAUAGGACAUCAUAGAGGGUGAGAAUCCCGUAUUUGACCAUUAUUUUCAGCUGUGUGAUACACUUUCAAAGAGUCGGAUUGUUUGGGAAUGCAGUCCAAAAUGGGUGGUAAAUUUCAUCUAAAGCUAAAUAUUGGCGAGAGACCGAUAGCGAACAAGUACCGUGAGGGAAAGAUGAAAAGAACUUUGAAAAGAGAGUUAAACAGUACGUGAAAUUGUCAAAAGGGAAGCGUUUGACACCAGUGUUGUUUUCUCGAAAAUCAAUUAAAAGAGUUAGAUUUUGUUGUGUAUUGACCUUAACAGCUUGCAUUUCAAUUUUCUUGCUUUUUUUAAUGCACUUUUCGUUUAACAAGUCAACAUCAGUUUCUUUUGUUGUAAAAAGGUCAUUGGAAGGUGGCUUUCUUUUCGGAGAAAGUGUUUAUAGCCUUUGACUCCUGCAAUCGGAGAGACUGAGGUCUGCAGCGUAGAUCCUUCGGGGUUAGAUACAUUUGUGCUAAGUUAUAGCUUUUUAUAGACAACUUGUUGACUAUGAUUAGUCUUGUAGCUUACUCGCUUAUGCUAUUUUACCUACGCUUAGGAUGUUGACGCGCGUGUGUGCGUG